GUUGCCAAUAAGUUUGAUGGCAAACCGUUUAACAACCGUGUCAUAUCAUUUGGCGACGCUGGCAUUUUUAGUAAAUACCGAACAGGAGUACUUUAAUAUUAAUUAAAAUAUUUUGGAAAUAUUGUAAUCGACAUCGCUUACGCGAUUAUAGCCGAGUUAACAACAGCGCGCCAGUAGUUUCUUCUUUUCGCUACGAGGCACCAAUUGAAUAUUCCAAGCGAAGCCAGGUCCAGAUGUAAUGCCGUAAAGCAAAAAUCGGGGAUAUAGUACCAAGUAUUAGAAACGUUUGGUAAAUUGUGCUAUUUGAAUGUCCAAGGCAUUUUAGAGGGCGCUCAAAUUUUUCAAUUAAUAUUAAUUAUUUGUGAAUUGCUAAUUGCUAUUUUUUACUUAAAUGGAUAAAUUAAUAAACAAAUAAUGAUAUUUUUUAGCCUUUUUUAGCCUUUUAAAGAACUUUGUCUAUUGUAUAAGCUCUUAUUGCUUCUUAUGACUAUGUGUGCUAUUUGCGUGACCACGACUGUAUAUAUCGACAUAAAUAUACGAGUAUACUUGAAUUUUAAUAACAUUUUACAAUAAUUACGAAUUAUUGCUUUAAGCUAUAAAAGUUCGUUAAUAUUCGUCAAUAUAAUUCACAAUAUUGUGAAAAUGAAACAUCAAUGUUAUUAAAUUUUUACUUCCUUCAAAUUGUUUCUA